rnacentral:lncRNA from 1 species
GCAUGGGAAUGCCCAAACCCAUUGGUUAUCAGCCCUGUGGAUCUGAAGGAAGCCUCCCCUUCCUGGAGGGUCUCCAGCCAGGGGCACAGGGAAUCAGGGCAAAAUCAACAAGACUGGACUGUCUGGGGCAGAGCCAGCCUGGGGAAACUUACAUUCUGCUUUGGCACAGAUGAGGCAGGCGGUGGUGCAGUUGAAGAAGUUCAGGAUCCCAGCUACAGCCACGCUGAUGUCAGUGUUGCUGGGGUGGAGGUUCAGGGUUGUGAAUCUCUGGAACUGGAACUUGACGAACUCCUCUGGGGCCACUUUGAAGUGAGGGACCUGGCAAGAGGAGCAAAAACGGACAGCAGGGAGGAUCCAGAUGUUGCUGAUGAUGGAGCUGGAGGCUGGGCUGGACGAUGGUCCGAGGACAGCGACCACCCCCUUGGGGAGGAUCUGACACACUGCAGCCAGCGGCAGGGACAGGGAAAGAAGCAAAGCACUCAUCAGAUACAAAAUCAACAGAGAGAAAUUAAAGAGCAGAGUCAAGAUUCAACAGCUCCACCCAUUUCCCCAAAGACCGGCCCCUUAACCACUGCACCGCACAGCCAUCCCCAGCAAAUGGCAAUUAACUGGGAUGUUUGUAGAUUGCCUUGGCCACUGGAACACUGAGUUAUUGUCUUCCCUUUUUUCAUUUCACUACUUUCUAUAAUGAGCAUGUAUUCCUUUUUAUAACAUAUUAUAAAGAAUACAAUGCUAUAAUAAAAACAUUCUUCUGAUGAGCAAGUAAAAUUCGAGUGACUCUGGUCUCCUUAAGUCCUGUCUUUGCAGCCCCUUCUCCCACCGUGCCAUCUCCCGCUGCAUGCCAGCUCACCUAGAACAUACUCUGUACAUAUUUUCCUGCCUGAUCCUGUUCCCAAAUGGCUAUCUCUAGAUCAGGGGUUCUUAACCUGUAGCCUGGGG